AUUGAACGCUGGCGGCAGGCCUAACACAUGCAAGUCGAACGAGUGGCGGACGGGUGAGUAAUGUCUGGGAAACUGCCCGAUGGAGGGGGAUAACUACUGGAAACGGUAGCUAAUACCGCAUACCAUCGGAUGUGCCCAGAUGGGAUUAGCUAGUAGGUGGGGUAACGGCUCACCUAGGCGACGAUCCCUAGCUGGUCUGAGAGGAUGACCAGCCACAUGGGAACUGAGACACGGUCCAGACUCCUACGGGAGGCAGCAGUGGGGAAUAGUGCACAAUGGUCGCAAGCCUGAUGCAGCCAUGCCGCGUGUAUGAAGAAGGCCCUAGGGUUGUAAAGUACUGUCAGUCGGGAGGCGUUACCGACAGAAGAAGCACCGGCUAACUCCGUGCCAGCAGCCUCGGUAAUAC
rnacentral:rRNA from 1 species